rnacentral:lncRNA from 11 species
AGCAGGGUAUCAUUUCUAACAGUAGGGAAUUGUAUCCAGUCUCUUGGCACCAGUGUUCAGUUCUGAGCAGGCAAUUCAAGUCAAUAUUGCUAAGUUGGAAAGGAUUCAGGAGUGAGCAAGAAAGGAUUGUGCUUUGAUGGCCUUGAAGUCACCUCAGUUGACGAAAAGGCCUUAGCACUGAAUUGACAUAACCCUUUUGGUC